rnacentral:tRNA from 1 species
AAAGAUUUAGUUUAAUAAAAACAUUAGUUUGUCAAGCUAAAAUAACUAUAUAAAGUAGUAAUCUUUU